rnacentral:rRNA from 2 species
UCUGGUGGCGAUAGCGAAGAGGUCACACCCGUUCCCAUACCGAACACGGAAGUUAAGCUCUUUAGCGCCAAUGGUAGUUGGGACUUUGUCUCUGUGAGAGUAGGACGUUGCCAGGC